rnacentral:rRNA from 1 species
CUGGCUCAGAUUGAACGCUGGCGGCGUGCUUAACACAUGCAAGUCGAACGCGAAAGGGGACUUCGGGUCCUGAGUAAAGUGGCGCACGGGUGAGUAACGCGUGGAUAAUCUGCCCUUAUGAUCGGGAUAACAGUGGAAACGGCUGCUAAUACCGGAUACGCUCAAAAUGAACUUUUUGAGGAAAGAUGGCCUCUGCUUGCAUGCUAUCACGUAAGGAUGAGUCCGCGUCCCAUUAGCUUGUUGGCGGGGUAACGGCCCACCAAGGCAACGAUGGGUAGCCGAUUUGAGAGGAUGAUCGGCCACACUGGAACUGAAACACGGUCCAGACUCCUACGGGAGGCAGCAGUGGGGAAUAUUGCGCAAUGGGCGAAAGCCUGACGCAGCGACGCCGCGUGAGGGAUGAAGGUUUUCGGAUCGUAAACCUCUGUCAGAAGGGAAGAAACUACGUUGUGCUAAUCAGCAGCGUACUGACGGUACCUUCAAAGGAAGCACCGGCUAACUCCGUGCCAGCAGCCGC